rnacentral:rRNA from 1 species
UUCAUAGACAGUGAGGAUGUUGGCUUAGAAGCAGCCACCAUUUAAAAAAUGCGUAAUAGCUUACUCAUCGAGAGACCUUGCGCCGAAAAUACUUGGCGAUAAGCACUAUACCGAAGCUCUGGGUGUCUAGUUUACUAGGCGCGGUAGAGGAGCAUUCUCUGUGCAGUGAAGGGUGAUGGCGACUGACCCUGGAGCGCAGAGAAGUGAGAAUGCAGACAUGAGUAACGAUAAGACCGGUGAAAUCCCGGUCCGCCGUAAAUCCAAGGUUUCCCGGGCAACGUUUUUCGUCCCGGGGUUAGUCUGGACCUAACCCGAGGCCGAUAGGCGUAGGGGAUGGUAAGCUGAUUAAUAUUUCAGCACCUGCAAAGUGGAUGGGGACGCUUUUUGAAUUGUAACCAGGUUAUUGAAUUCCGAGGGGAGGCCUUGUGCCGAACCGUAUUACAUGAAGAAGAGCCAAGAAAAGCCACCACGACUAAAAGCAGCCCGUACCGUAAACCGACACAGGUGGGUGGGUAGAGUAUACCAAGGCGCAAGAGUGAAACCUGGUCAAGGAACUCGGCAAAAUAGCUCCGUAACUUCGGGAUAAGGAGUGCCCCUCUUCGGAGGGGCCGCAGUGAAAUGGGUCAACCGACUGUUUAGCAAAAACACAGCAUUGUGCAAAGACGCAAGUCGAAGUAUACGAUGUGACACGUGACCAAUGCCAAAAGAUUACGGUAAGAUGUUAGCUGAAUUUAUUCUAGCAAAGCUUCGAGCCUAAGUCCUGGUGAAUGUCGGCCGUAACUAUAACGGUCCUAAGGUAGCGAAAUUCCUUGUCGGGUAAGUUCCGACCUGCACGAAUCGUGCAACGAGUUGACCACUGUCUCGACCAGGAGCUCAGUGAAAUUGUAGUGCCGGUGAAGAUGCCGGCUACCCGCAGAAGGACGGAAAGACCCUAUAGACCUUAACUGUAAGCUGUUACUGUUUAUUCGAUUUUAAUGCUCAGCAUAAGUGGGAGACUUUGAAGGGUGCGUUUAGGCGCAUCCGGAGUCGUCAGGGAGAUACCACCCUUUGACAUUGGAUAAUCUAACCUCGAGCCGUCAUCCGGCCGAGGAACCGUGGCAGCCGGUCAGUUUUACUGGGGCGGUAUCCUCCUAAAGAGUAACGGAGGAGCGCGAAGUUUGGCUCAGCACGGUCCGUAACCGUGUGUUGAGUGUAAAGGCAUAAGCCAGACUAACUGUGAGACCUACAAGUCGAGCAGAUACGAAAGUAGGCCUUAGUGAUCCGGCGGUUGAAUGUGGAAUUGCCGUCGCUCAACGGAUAAAAGGUACCUUAGGGAUAACAGGCUUAUCACGCCCAAGAGUUCAUAUCGACGGCGCGGUUUGGCACCUCGAUGUCGGCUCGUCACAUCCUGGGGCUGGAGAAGGUCCCAAGGGUCCGGCUGUUCGCCGGUUAAAGCGGCACGCGAGCUGGGUUCAGACCGUCGUGAGACAGGUCGGUCUCUAUC